rnacentral:lncRNA from 10 species
GCCGUCGCGGGGAGCGCGCAUAAGGCGCGCACUCGGGCUCGCCGGGACUCGCGCUCUCCCGGGACUGGCUCCCCUCUCUGCAAGCCGGGACUUGCCGCCGGUGUCCCUGAGGGCUCGCAGCUGUAACUCGAACACGCUGGAACCGACUCCGGCGAGCCGGCUGCCUUCUCGAGACGUUCCUCCUUGCCCGGGCCGCCCGCGGGCCAGGUGAUCACCCCGAGUGUGGAGCAGGCCCGGGGGAGCUUGCGUAUGCCUUGAUCCAACCAGGUCACCCAGGGUUUUAUUUCAGGUCAUUUGGUCAUCCUCGGCCUCCAGGUAGGAUCAGGAAGCCACUCCUCACCUUUGCCCGGACCUCUUCUGUGUUCACGUAGAGUGGACUUUUAAAAGCCUGACCCAAGUGCCUCACGAUGCUUAGGGGGAAGCCGCUGGGGAGCAGGACUUUGCUUUGAGGGGAGGGAGUAGUCAAGGUAAAGGAACCUCUGCUCCGAGUGCCAAUAAAAUCCCCACAAGAUUA